rnacentral:tRNA from 1 species
GCCCAGGUGGCGAAAUGGCAGACGCAUCACCUUGAGGUGGUGACGCCGAAAGGCAUGGAGGUUCGAAUCCUCUCCUGGGCACCA